rnacentral:rRNA from 1 species
CUGGCUCAGAUGAACGCUGGCGGUCUGCUUAACACAUGCAAGUCGAACGCAACCUUCGGGUUGAGUGGCGGACGGGUGAGUAACGCGUGAGAAUCUGCCUUGGAGUCGGGGACAACCACUGGAAACGGUGGCUAAUACCGGAUAAGCCUUUGGGUAAAAGAUUUAUUGCCCCAAGAGGAGCUCGCGUCUGAUUAGCUAGUUGGUGAGGUAAAAGCUCACCAAGGCAGCGAUCAGUAGCUGGUCUGAGAGGACGAUCAGCCACACUGGGACUGAGACACGGCCCAGACUCCUACGGGAGGCAGCAGUGGGGAAUUUUCCGCAAUGGGCGAAAGCCUGACGGAGCAAGACCGCGUGAGGGAGGAAGGCUCUUGGGUUGUAAACCUCUUUUCUCAGGGAAGAAGCUCUGACGGUACCUGAGGAAUCAGCCUCGGCUAACUCCGUGCCAGCAGCCGCGGUAAUACGGAGGAGGCAAGCGUUAUCCGGAAUUAUUGGGCGUAAAGCGUCCGCAGGUGGCGAUUCAAGUCUGCUGUCAAAGCACGGGGCUUAACUCCGUUAAGGCAGUGGAAACUGAAUAGCUAGAGUGCCGUAGGGGUAGAGGGAAUUCCCGGUGUAGCGGUGAAAUGCGUAGAGAUCGGGAAGAACAUCGGUGGCGAAAGCGCUCUACUGGACGGCAACUGACACUCAGGGACGAAAGCUAGGGGAGCGAAUGGGAUUAGAUACCCCAGUAGUCCUAGCUGUAAACGAUGGAUACUAGGUGUAGCUUGUAUCGACCCGAGCUGUGCCGAAGCUAACGCGUUAAGUAUCCCGCCUGGGGAGUACGCACGCAAGUGUGAAACUCAAAGGAAUUGACGGGGGCCCGCACAAGCGGUGGAGUAUGUGGUU